rnacentral:rRNA from 1 species
AUUGAACGCUGGCGGCAGGCCUAACACAUGCAAGUCGAGCGGAUGAAGGGAGCUUGCUCCUGGAUUCAGCGGCGGACGGGUGAGUAAUGCCUAGGAAUCUGCCUGGUAGUGGGGGAUAACGUCCGGAAACGGGCGCUAAUACCGCAUACGUCCUGAGGGAGAAAGUGGGGGAUCUUCGGACCUCACGCUAUCAGAUGAGCCUAGGUCGGAUUAGCUAGUUGGUGGGGUAAAGGCCUACCAAGGCGACGAUCCGUAACUGGUCUGAGAGGGUGAUCAGUCACACUGGAACUGGGACACGGUCCAGACUCCUACGGGAGGCAGCAGUGGGGAAUAUUGGACAAUGGGCGAAAGCCUGAUCCAGCCAUGCCGCGUGUGUGAAGAAGGUCUUCGGAUUGUAAAGCACUUUAAGUUGGGAGGAAGGGCAGUAAGUUAAUACCUUGCUGUUUUGACGUUACCAACAGAAUAAGCACCGGCUAACUUCGUG